CUCUCGUAGAGCUUCAGGCAGAAGAAGCUCCAGGCAAAAUUGGGAUGCUAAGGAAAUGUCUGUGACAUUUUCCCACCACUUCCAUCUUCCUAUGCUUUAGCCAUCUCCACUGUCAAUACUGAAAUCCACCCUUAGGCCCAAGGUGGAUGUUAUCCCUCUAACCUCCAGAAGGCCUAUGCACCUUCCUGAGCUCAUAGUUUUGCCCUGGGUUCGGUGUGACUUCUAUUAGAUGCGCAGAGCAACAAAUCUAUAUUUGAGAAGUGCCCCUUCUUCAAUUUGGUGACCAUGAAGCGACAAAAAUGUCUGAACAACGUACUGCUUGGUGGAUUUCUGGAUCCCCAAGCUUCUGAUAAGAAAGAAGUAACUGGAAUUAGCACACUAUGCAAAUGGAAUCCCAGGAAAAAGCAAAGAACUGAACAUCUUCAUUCACAUGGGCAGCUCCAACAAGGUAAGCAUGCAACUUCUAUUAGACAUUUUGCAAUACUGAAGGUAGCUCAGUGACUUCAUCAUUUCCUUUGUGGUUGCCAAGGGACAAAGGAUCCCAAUCACUGAUCUAUUCUAACUCCUUCAUUUUCCUGAUGAGGAAAGUGAGUCAGCAAGGCUGUUUUUUAAAGUUUAACUCACGCGUUCUGUUUUUUUCCCAUAGGUUGUGGCUUGUAAGCAGAAUGCAGGCACCAGUUGAUGCUGAAAAGUCUUGAAACACCUUUAACAAUUUUUGCUAUGAAAGCUGGUCUAUUGCUUUGAACAGAAAGCAGAAGUCCAAAUUUAGGAAUUUUUGAAGUAACCAUUUUACAACUUCUGUUUUUUAGUCUAGCAAGGAAAAAAGCUUUUAACUAUCUAAAAGUGUCCACAAAUACUAGCAAAUACUUGCAGAUUCCAAGGAUUUGGGGCAGGACUGUGAAUUUAUUUGCUACUUUUUUUCACCAUCUCAACCUUUUAUUAUUUAUGGAUAGAUGUCCUUUGCAGGGGACAAAUUGUUAAAUGCAGUCAUGCAUCCCAAGAAAUUAAACAAUUUAAAAAUUAGAUUUAUAUGCUUUACGUUUUUGCUGGCUGAAGUUAUUUGACCAUGCUCUUUUUAAAUUGUUUUGUGAGCAUGCAAAUCAGCAAAAGCAUAUGCUUGUUUGUGCAGGCUCAUGACUUGGCCUUUUUCUUAGCUGGAGGGCCCUUAUGAGGAAAAUUAGUCCCACACUUUCUGCUGAUGUUCCCCAUGGGAGAGGCAGUAUUUGCUACUGAAUAUCUUGCUUUCUGUAGGAUGACACUCAAGAUUGUCCAACAGCCUUAGCUUCUCCAUUGUGAGCUACUGUCCCCCUUUUGCUCCAAUAUAGUAAGGACAAGUGGGGAGCUGAAAGUAAACUUUUUGUUUCUCAAAAGAGUUCAUAGGUGGUUGCCACUCUCCUAGGCCAGCGGGCCAUCCUCAGGGUACAGUGUUAAACUGUUUUGACGAAUGAGCCACUGGUCAAAUCAGCCACUGGUCAUAUAUUUUUUCAAAAAGGCUUAUGCAAGUACUUUGAAGGUUAUGCCCUGUUUUUUAUGGACAGACGGAUCAAUUUUUUUGAUGGCAUCAGGGAGCUCAAGGUUGGAGCUGAUAUUAAUUUAUCUUUAAAAUUUGAAAGGCAAUUGUACAUUCUGAUGUUCAUUUAAAAAAUUUUUUUUUCUUUAUGGCCAGAUAUAGAGGUUUGGUUAUCAAUCCAAAAUUUGGUAUUGGCAGUUGAUAAUAGUUCACCAUACCUAAGAACCCUGAGUUUCUUUUUGUUCUUUGGCAUGGCUACUUGCCACAGGGUCUAGCCUGCAAAAAGACUCUUGUGGAACUUUACUCCCUGAGGAUUUCUGGACAAAACUUGCACUUUUUAACAAAAUCCAACUACACUAUUGUUUUAUACCUAAGUCAAGUCCUUUUCAAUCACAUGCAAAGUUUUUGCAAGUCUUUAUUUAUUGAGAUGCAAUAAAUGACAUCCUUUAAAGUUAAACUAAGUAUAUGCAUCAGAAAUAUUGAUGAGGAAAGUAUAUAGAUUAGGUUCUGUGGGACUAUACUUUUUACUAUUUGAUUUAUAACUCUUAAAUUCUGGACAAAUCUGUAACCUUGAGUUCCUGGUGUGUAACAGCCACUGGCCUAACUUGGACACCCAAGAAUCUUGGUGUUCAGCAGCCUGUGUGACCUAGGCCAGUUAAUGUUUAAUCUACCACCUUUGUGUCCUGAAAAGACUAUGCAGCUAAACUAUGUAAGCCAGAUAGCUUAUCUCUUUUCUGAGCCCCCUUAGAUGUUAUCAAUCUUAUUGAAAUACACAAAAAAACAACCUGUCCCUUCCUGCACAACAUAAUCAAUCACGAGAAUGUCUUUGUCUAGAAAGCCCUAAAAACCAGCUUGACCAGUCAGUUUGAUUGUGUGGUCAAUUUCCCUGAUGAAUGCUGUACCCGUCCGGUGAAGAGAAAAACCACUUGAUUUUUUGCCUCCCUGUAGGUAA